GACGAACGCUGGCGGCGUGCUUAACACAUGCAAGUCGAACGGAAAGGCCCUGCUUUUGUGGGGUGCUCGAGUGGCGAACGGGUGAGUAACACGUGAGUAACCUGCCCUUGACUUUGGGAUAACUUCAGGCAACUGGGGCUAAUACCGGAUAGGAGCUCCUGCUGCAUGGUGGGGGUUGGAAAGUUUCGGCGGUUGGGGAUGGACUCGCGGCUUAUCAGCUUGUUGGUGGGGUAGUGGCUUACCAAGGCUUUGACGGGUAGCCGGCCUGAGAGGGUGACCGGCCAAGUUGGGACUGAGAUACGGCCCAGACUCCUACGGGAGGCAGCAGUGGGGAAUAUUGCACAAUGGGCGGAAGCCUGAUGCAGCAACGCCGCGUGCGGGAUGACGGCCUUCGGGUUGUAAACCGCUUUCGCCUGUGACGAAGCGUGAGUGACGGUAAUGGGUAAAGAAGCACCGGCUAACUACGUG
rnacentral:rRNA from 1 species